GACGAACGCUGGCGGCGUGCUUAACACAUGCAAGUCGAACGGAAAGGCCCUGCUUGCAGGGUACUCGAGUGGCGAACGGGUGAGUAACACGGGGGUGAUCUGCCCUCCACUUUUGGGUAAGCCUGGGAAACUGGGUCUAAUACCGGAUAGGAGCCAUUUUUUGUGUGAUGGUUGGAAAGUUUUUUUGGUGUAGGAUGAGCUGGCGGCCUAUCAGCGUGUUGGUGGGGUAAUGGCCUACCAAGCCGGCGACGGGUAGCCGGCCUGAGAGGGUGGACGGCCACAUUGGGACUGAGAGACGGCCCAGACUCCUACUGGAGGCAGCAGUGGGGAAUCUUGCACAAUGGGCGCAAGCCUGAUGCAGCGAGGCCGCGGGGGGGAUGACGGCCUUCGGGUUGUAAACUCCUUUCGCUAGGGACGAAGCUUUUUGUGACGGUACCUAGAGAAGAAGCACCGGCUAACUACGUG
rnacentral:rRNA from 1 species